rnacentral:rRNA from 1 species
GACGAGCGCUGGCGGCGUGCUUAACACAUGCAAGUCAAACGGAAAGGCCCUGCUUUUGUGGGGUGCUCGAGUGGCGAACGGGUGAGUAACACGUGAGUAACCUGCCCUUGACUUUGGGAUAACUUCAGGAAACUGGGGCUAAUACCGGAUAGGAGCUCCUGCUGCAUGGUGGGGGUUGGAAAGUUUCGGCGGUUGGGGAUGGACUCGCGGCUUAUCAGCUUGUUGGUGGGGUAGUGGCUUACCAAGGCUUUGACGGGUAGCCGGCCUGAGAGGGUGACCGGCCACAUUGGGACUGAGAUACGGCCCAGACUCCUACGGGAGGCAGCAGUGGGGAAUAUUGCACAAUGGGCGGAAGCCUGAUGCAGCAACGCCGCGUGCGGGAUGACGGCCUUCGGGUUGUAAACCGCUUUCGCCUGUGACGAAGCGUGAGUGACGGUAAUGGGUAAAGAAGCACCGGCUAACUACGUG